rnacentral:rRNA from 1 species
CCCUUAGAUGUUCUGGGCAGCACGCGCGCUACAAUGGUCUUCGCAAACGGAUGCAUUCUCGAAGGAGAAUGCCAAUCUUGGAAUCUAUGCCUUGGUCGGGACAGUUGCUUGCAAUUUUUCGACUCGAACCAGGAAUUCCUUGUAAUCGUGAUUCAUCACAUCACGAUGAAUACGUCCCUGCCCUUUGUACACACCGCCCGUCGCUCCUACCGAUCGAAGAGUUAGGUGAAUUGUUUUGAUCGAUAAGAUUUGACUAUGGUCAACUCUCGUUGUGAUAUUCUGUGAAUCUGACUGUUUAGAGGAAGGAAAAGUCGUAACA